rnacentral:rRNA from 1 species
CCUACGGGCGGCAGCAGUGAGGAAUAUUGGUCAAUGGACGAGAGUCUGAACCAGCCAAGUAGCGUGAAGGAUGACUGCCCUAUGGGUUGUAAACUUCUUUUAUAUGGGAAUAAAAUGUUCCACGUGUGGGAUUUUGUAUGUACCAUAUGAAUAAGGAUCGGCUAACUCCGUGCCAGCAGCCGAGGUAAUACGGAGGAUCCGAGCGUUAUCCGGAUUUAUUGGGUUUAAAGGGAGCGUAGGUGGAUUGUUAAGUCAGUUGUGAAAGUUUGCGGCUCAACCGUAAAAUUGCAGUUGAAACUGGCAGUCUUGAGUACAGUAGAGGUGGGCGGAAUUCGUGGUGUAGCGGUGAAAUGCUUAGAUAUCACGAAGAACUCCGAUUGCGAAGGCAGUUCACUGGACUGCAACUGACACUGAGGCUCGAAAGUGUGGGUAUCAAACAGGAUUAGAUACCCGGGUAGUC